GACAGAGGGGGCAAGCGUUGCUCGGAAUCACUGGGCGUAAAGGGCGCGUAGGCGGCCAUUCAAGUCGGGGGUGAAAGCCCAGGGCUCAACCCUGGAAUUGCCUUCGAUACUGUUUGGCUAGAGACCGGAAGAGGUUAGUGGAACUGCGAGUGUAGAGGUGAAAUUCGUAGAUAUUCGCAAGAACACCAGUGGCGAAGGCGGCUAACUGGUCCGGUUCUGACGCUGAGGCGCGAAAGCGUGGGGAGCAAACAGG
rnacentral:rRNA from 1 species